UUGCAGCCAGUUAAGCCUACUGUGCUCUUUUCUCCAUGGGGGCCUGGUGUGCAAUGGCUGCAAACAGCAGAGCCUCCUCGGUAGUGUAUGCAGCCUGUUGCCUGUACCACUUGCCCUAAGGGAACUUGGAGACAGCU
rnacentral:snoRNA from 1 species